UACGGGGGGGGCAAGCGUUGUUCGGAAUUACUGGGCGUAAAGGGCUCGUAGGCGGCCAACUAAGUCGGAUGUGAAAUCCCCAGGCUUAACCUGGGAACUGCAUCCGAUACUGGAUGGCUUGAAUCCGGGAGAGGGAUGCAGAAUUCCAGGUGUAGCGGUGAAAUGCGUAGAUAUCGAGAGGAACACCUGCGGCGAAGGCGGGUUGCUGGGCUGACACUGACGCUGAUGCGCGAAAGCUAGGGGAGCGAACGGG
rnacentral:rRNA from 1 species